UCUACUGAAAUUGCUCUGCAGGUACCCUGUGUCCCCAGGACUGUAGGCACCAAAGUAUUUCCACACUGUCUUGGCUCCUUCCCAAAAUGCAGGUGUGGGAACAAGCCAGGGGAUUCAAAGACUCCAAGGCUGGCAGUGUGCAGGAGUGCCCACGAUGCCCAUACCAACAAUGAAAGUAACAUAGACUGUAAAGUCUGUGUUUUGUACUACUUCUCAUACAGGCUCAGCAUUAAACAAACCUGCUCUAUUUUUGAGUGCUACUACCAUGGCUCUUGAGGGAUAACAAGUAACUACCAUAACUGGCAGAAUGAUGGUGAAAACACUGGUACAAGGAACACAUGGAAAUUGCUAAAAAGAGAAAGGGACAAUAAUAAUAAUAAUAAUAAUAAUAAUAAAAGAAAAUAUGAAGGAGAAGAGAAAUGAUGCUGGAAGCUGGCAAAAGCUUUCCCCUCUGAAUCCUGGAGCAGGAGAACUGCUUGCAGGGUAAUGCAUCUAUCUAGUUACAUGUCAUACAUGACCACAGUAUUGAAGGGUUUAGAUGUCCUGGGAUUUAAACAUGUCACUACUGGGAUAAGCUGCACUCCUACAAAACAGAGUAGUGUAAACUCUUUUGCCAGUGGAAUGAGUGCCUUAGUGGCAAAGCUGUAGCAGAGAGGUGAUUUGAGAAUAUCAAGGUUUUUGUGGUAGCAUGGGGAGGAGAGGGCGAUAGCUGGAUGGGCUGCGCGAGCCGCAGAGAGCUCAGCGAGGGGCGAAGGGAGCUGCAGGGCUGCUAAGCAGGGGAUUAUAGGGAAGCCGAA